UACGAAGGGGGCUAGCGUUGCUCGGAAUGACUGGGCGUAAAGGGCGCGUAGGCGGCGCAGUUAGUCAGGCGUGAAAUUCCUGGGCUCAACCUGGGGACUGCGCUUGAUACGGCUGUGCUUGAGGAUGGAAGAGGCUCGCGGGAUUCCCAGUGUAGAGGUGAAAUUCGUAGAUAUUCGGAAGAACACCAGUGGCGAAGGCGACUUACUGGACACAUAUUGACGCUGAGGUGCGAAAGCGUGGGGAGCAAACAGG
rnacentral:rRNA from 1 species